rnacentral:rRNA from 1 species
GAUGAACGCUGGCGGCGUGCCUAAUACAUGCAAGUCGAACGCAUUGAGAGAAGUGCUUGCACUUUUCAAUUUGAGUGGCGAACGGGUGAGUAACACGUGGGCAACCUACCUGAUAGCGGGGGAUAACGAGUGGAAACAUUCGCUAAUACCGCAUAACAAUAGAGAAGGCAUCUUCGUUAUUUAAAAGGCGCUUUCAAGCGUCACUAUCAGAUGGGCCCGCGGUGCAUUAGUUAGUUGGUGGGGUGAAGGCCUACCAAGACGAUGAUGCAUAGCCGAGUUGAGAGACUGAUCGGCCACAUUGGGACUGAGACACGGGCCAAACUCCUACGGGAGGCUGCAGUAGGGAAUCUUCCACAAUGGACGAAAGUCUGAUGGAGCAACGCCGCGUGUGUGAUGAAGGCUUUCGGGUCGUAAAGCACUGUUGUAUGGGAAGAAAUGCUAGGCUAGGAAAUGAGCUUAGUUUGACGGUACCAUACCAGAAAGCCACGGCUAACUACGUGCCAGCCGCCGCCGUAA